rnacentral:rRNA from 1 species
GACGAACGCUGGCGGCGUGCUUAACACAUGCAAGUCGAACGGAAAGGCCCUGCUUUUGUGGGGUGCUCGAGUGGCGAACGGGUGAGUAACACGUGAGUAACCUGCCCUUGACUUUGGGAUAACUUCAGGAAACUGGGGCUAAUACCGGAUAGGAGCUCCUGCUGCAUGGUGGGGGUUGGAAAGUUUCGGCGGUUGGGGAUGGACUCGCGGCUUAUCAGCUUGUUGGUGGGGUAGUGGCUUACCAAGGCUUUGACGGGUAGCCGGCCUGAGAGGGUGACCGGGCACAGUGGGACGGAGAUCGGGCGGGGACGGGGACGGGAGGAAGCGGGGGGGAGGAUGGCAGAGUGGGCGGAAGCGUGAGGAAGCGACGCCGGGUGAGGGAGGACGGGCUUGGGGGGGGAAAAAGCUUUCGCCUGUGACGAAGCGGGAGGGACGGUAAUGGGUAAAGAAGCACCGGCUAAUUACGUG